UCGACCCNUUCUGUGCCGGAGUUAACGCAAUAAGUACCCCGCCUGGGGAGUACGACCGCAAGGUUGAAACUCAAAGGAAUUGACGGGGGCCCGCACAAGCGGUGGAGUAUGUGGUUUAAUUCGACGCAACGCGAAGAACCUUACCAGGUCUUGACAUUGAUGGACAGAACCAGAGAUGGUUCNUCUUNUUCGGAAGCCAGAAAACAGGUGGUGCUCGGUUGUCGUCAGCUCGUGUCGUGAGAUGUUGGGUUAAGUCCCGCAACGAGCGCAACCCCUAUCUUAUGUUGCCAGCACUUUGGGUGGGGACUCAUGAGAGACUGCCGCAGACAAUGCGGAGGAAGGCGGGGAUGACGUCAAAUCAUCAUGCCCCUUAUGACCUGGGCUACACACGUACUACAAUGGGAGUUAAUAGACGGAAGCGAGAUCGCGAGAUGGAGCAAACCCGAGAAACACUCUCUCAGUUCGGAUCGUAGGCUGCAACUCGCCUACGUGAAGUCGGAAUCGCUAGUAAUCGCAGGUCAGCAUACUGCGGNGAAUACGUUCCCGGGCCU
rnacentral:rRNA from 1 species